ACCAUUCAAUCGAUAGAUCAGAAAUAUCUAUGACUCCGUAUCAUCGAACAAAACAUGUAAGAAUUAUCUGUUUGAGAAUCGAAUCAGUAUAUCAAAAUAUAUGCCUCCGUAUCAAUAUAUACGCUUUCAUAUCAAAAUUUAAUAAUAAUAUUUUAUUUUUUUAUUAUAAGAUACUGAGAUAUCCGAUUCUCAUCCAUCAACUACUGA
rnacentral:lncRNA from 1 species